GGUCCAAAGGCCCCAUAACGCAACUCCUACAUUCCAAUCCGACGAUUCAAAGUUCCCAGCCACCGCAACCUGUUCGUAACCGUCGACGUUAAACUUUGCAAUCACUACAAGCUUUCAACGACUUCUUAAUCCUUCUGCAUAUAAUACAUAUAUGGACUAGAAGGCAUGAAUCCACGUAUCUCAUCGUUUCUCAGUUUUCUCCUCUCCAAAACUCUCCAAAACUCUCUCUAAGGGCGAGUUUGACUAUGGCGAUUCUUUAACUGAUUCUGUCUGAUUUGAAGGCUGGUCUUGUCAGCAGGCUCCUUUGUUGUUGGGAAGGAAUAAGGUCGAGAGCUUAUUGGAAUUGAAAAGAAUCCAGUGGUCAAGUUUGUAGGAGUUGUAAACGCGAAAGAAAAAGUUAUAGCAGAAACGAUGCAUCAACUCUCCCUGGAGAUCAAUGAGGUUAAUAAGAAGAAAUUUUAUAAUGCAAAAAUGUGGGUGAGCCAAUGUUGAAUUUCAAGGAGUUGCAAGAGUUCAAGCAUGUCGUUGAUGAUGCCCCUACCACUACUACAAACUUGGCUGAAAAUAAGAUGAGCAUGAAUCUAGAUGGGGAACUUCCAUGAGAUGAUCCACUACAUUACUUUGCUGUUCAUGCUGUCAAGAGCAUCCAAAACAGAUCUAACUCUUUGCUACUUUAUGAACUUCAAUAGGGUGUGCAUGCAACCCUGAGACCUUUUUGAGGUUUAUGGAGCUUCGUAGAUGACAUCAGGACUGUCGUGUAUACACGCUUUGGAGAUGUGUGCUUUUUGAGCUGUGAAACAUGACUACUAUAUAGUGGAGUUAUACGGGCAUGAGAUAUCUUUCAAAUGGAAAACCUCAGAAAAUGGAAACGUACAUCAACACAUAUUUCAAUCCGCUAUCCUAAUGGAGUUUAUAGAAGGAUGAUCUUCUUCUUUUUUUUGAUCAAUAGAAGGAGGAUCUCUAAAGGGACCCAGAUGGCAACGUACGUGCAAUAGAUGGAAGGAUCUUACAAGUGUCCAUAGAGGACAUAGCAGAUAUCCUUCAAGUGGCCAAUGGACCUGACAACCUAUUCUCACAGCAACGUGGCACUCCAGCAGUCAUUCAAACCGAUCCAAACAAACACGUAGGAGUCGCCACAACAAAAAUCAAUCCAGAUCUUUCAUACCAACCAAAAAGUCAACCAUCGAUCGACGGGACAACUGAGACAGGAAGCGAGUGAAAUCGCUCGAUGGUAAGUCGCCGAGAUCGACCGACGAACACAUAAUCACAUCGAUCGACGCCGAGUCUACACCAGCCAGCGAGCAGCUGAUACACAAGACGAUAGAAUCAAUGCACAAGGAACUGACAGAACUUUCAGCAUACGCCUAUGACAACAUAGGCUUGCACCAGGUCAGCAUUGACAACAUUCAGGAUAGGCUACAUAACAUCUCCAAUGUACUUGAGAAGAUGAAUGACAAAUAGACAAGAAAUGAUGAGGCCACAAGAAGUUUCAUCGCAUCUUGGUCCAGAAUGUGCAGAGAUGACGUGGAUGCUUGUUUUCCAACAAGCAGUUGUUUCUCCACCAAAUAGCCACUCACUACCACAGUCAAACUAAAUGACUAUAACCAAGCGCUGAGUGGGAGAGAGUGGGAGACAACCCACUAUUAGGUAUUUUAUUUUUGUUUUAUUAGCUAGCAUUUAUUUACUUUCGUUUUAUUUCUUUCAGAUUUAGGAGACCCAAGUAGGAGGACCUGAAUAUCGACCGCCGACGAAACGUCGACAUCGCUCGACAUAGACAACCACACGACGAUCGAUGUAACAUUUUCCCAUCGAUCGAUAUCUAAUCCGGUCAGAUGUAUCUUCCCUACUUGUUACAUUUCGUACAUCAUGAACUAUUCCAUCAUAACUCCGGCUGAGUAAUACUGGGACAGUGUAAUUUAAGUCUGGGGGAGAUUUACUGAUAUAAUUUAUUUUAUUCUUAUAUAAAACAUAUGAUCAGCAUGACCUUUAACAAAUCCCAUAGAGAAGAAAGCUUUAGAUAACUUCUUGAACCAUUGACGUGAAGCCUAUUUAAGACCAUAGAUUGGUUUUCUCAACCGAAGAACAUGACGAGAAGGAAGAGAGCCCCCCUGUCUUUCAGCAUAGCCUUAGAUGUAUAUCUCUUUCUCAAACUCACCAUUCAAAAAGGCAUUUGAGAUAUCAAGCAGUAUUAAAUACCAUUUCUUCGAAUCUGCAACUUUCAACAACAACUUGAUAGUAGCCAUUUUGGCAACAUAUAUUCAGCUCUCGAUGGUUCCUAAUCUGAAGUUAUCAAAGAGUGAUGGUGUGAUUCAUGCUGAUGAUGGGAUGUAUAGACGGAUUGUGGGACGUCUCAUGUAUCUAACUAUCACUCGGCCUAACAUAUCUUUUGAUGUCAACGAGUCAUGUCAGUAGUCUUAUGCUCCAUGGACAUCUCAUUUGAAAGUCGUUUACAAAGUCUUACAAUACAUCAAAAGUACAAUUGGUCAAGGUUUGUUUUAUAUCCAUCAAGCGUUUCAACUGAGAAAGGUCCCCAAAUAUCAAUAUGCAACAACUCAAAGUUUGUGUUACAAAUGUUAUUGAGCAAUAUAUAUGGAUAUUUCUUCUGUUACACAGAGUCUUUAUUCUUGAGUUUUGAAGUUCCUAAAUCUUCAGAUAUCACAUCCAGUCUUAAAUAUGAUGGCUGACCAAGACGCAUGUGCCAUACACAAACAUCCACGACUGAGUUAACUGAGGCUUGAAGAUUUUGCGUGUCCAACACAUAGAGAUUUCCAAUUCGUCUACCCUGACCAAUCGUCAAUGCCCUGGUAGGAUCAUGAAUGAGACUCGAAAAACGAAUAAAUAUGACACGAGAGUUCAAGUCUCUCAUCAAAGAGCUGAUACUGAGAAGAUUCAGCCUGAAUUCUGGUAUGUAUAACACAUUUAUUGAGACAUAUGUGCGAGUUGAGUUGAACCUUUGCAACACCACUAAUCUUAAUCAUAGAUCUGGUUGGUAGGUUAACAUAACUCUCUACUGAUGUAUCAGUAGAUAUAAACAGUUGUGUCUCAUGAGUAACAUGGUGUAUAGCACCAGAAUCAAGCACCCAUGUUUGAGAAGACAAUGUAUGCUGAGAGACCAUUUAAAUACCAACAAAGCUAUAUGUUGUUGAUGAAAGAGAGAUACUAGAAUUAGAUGUUCUCGCUUCCAUGGUACCAGUUGCUGGAGAUGAUUGCAACUGAGAUGUGAAAAGAGCGAAGAACUGCUGAAUCUGAUCCUUUGAGAGACUACCAAGCAUAUUCUCAACAUUAGAAGUCUUGUGCUCGGUAAUAGGAGGUGAACAACCAUUAAUCUGAGCAGCCACCGUUGGAAGAGAGUUAGACUUAUCCUGAGGUUUGAAUUUGGAAACGAAGCCUGGAGUAAAGCCAUGCUUUUUAUAGCAAUGUUCAACAAUAUGUCCAGGACGCUUAUAGAAUGAACAAAUAGCUUGUUCAUUCACCAAUGGAGGAAUUUCAGAGACUUGAAACGUAGAUGGAGAAGGUGAAAUAGAAGAGAAUCCCUUAUGACACAUCUUGAUCCAAGAUAUUAUAAACUUCCACCAAUGAAGGCAAGACUUUCAUCAUAAUAAUUUGACAUCUAAUGAUCGCAUAAGAAUCAUUAAGACCUGCCAAAAACUUCACAAUCUUGGAACGUUCAUUCUUCAAUUGAUGCUUUGCAGCAUUACCACAUAUACAAGGCUGAUCCGGUUCAUCAUAACUCUCAAGAUUAUCCCACAAUUUCUUCAGCGUAUUAAAAUAUUCAGAAAGAUACAUUGAGCCUUGAUGAAGAUCAUGUACCUGUUGAGUAAGAUUAAAAGUUCUCGGAAGAUUUUUCAUGUAAAAAAGACCUUGUAGGUCACACCAUAUGUUAGACGCAGCAUUCAAUCGGAGAAUACUGCGAUAGAUCUGGUUAGAUACGGAAUUCAAUAACCAUGACUUGACCAUACUAUUGCAGCAAGACCAAAUACGAAAACUAAAAUGAGAUUCUUCAGGACGAGUGGGAGUUCCAUCAAUGAAUCUUAUCUUGUUCUUAGCAUCUAAAGCAAUUUUCAUCUCAGCACUCCAAGCAUCAUAGUUUGAACCAUCGAGUUGUAUGGAGAUAAGUUGUAAACCUGGAUGAUCGGAGUUAUUCAUGUACAGAGGAGACUGAGUGAUAUCGGUGAGAUUCGCCAUGGAAAACACGUGUGAUGUAUCAGUUGAUGGAGCAACAGAAACCGGAGGAGAGUGAGUCACGGCGUUCGAUCGAGACGAGUUUCGAGUAGUACUGCGAGGUAUCUUGUUUAUGGACACCAUCAGAGCUCAAAAACGAUAGAUAAGAAUAAAAAAGGAGCUGAGAAACGAAAUAUCAAAGCGGAGUCAAAUGAUAAAAGAGUUAUGUGAUUGGUCUGAUACCAUAUUACGUAUUGAGAACGAGAUCAAUGAAGAACGAAAGCUUUGGAGAAGAAGAAGUUUGUUAGAAGAAAAUGUAUAUUGAUCUGUUAAUCCUAUCGGUUGUUUACAAGUUAAGGUGUUUAUAUACAAUACAUAUUUACUAAACCGAAAUAGAUAAACUGAACCAGCGAAAGAGAACCAAUUCAGCCUAACUAAAUAACCCGGGUUAUACUUCAAUAAUCUAUUUUGUUGAUAUGGAACCAGAUUGGUUCAGAGUGAAGUAUCCUUGGAAAAAAAGGAAGAUGUAGUGAUGGAUUGAUCUGGGUUGAUUUUAAUAGAGAUUUAGAUGAGUUGGCAUCUUCUAUAUAUGAAAGAUGGUCCGACAAAACUCUAUCGAAUCAUCUGAGAUCUUUUCAGUUUUAUCAAGUGACGUUAAUAGGGAGUUUGAAGAGUGCACAAGCCUUUGGAGUCUAGACUCGCAGUGCUUGUUAUGUAGAUUAGCCAUGUGAUUGUAUUGUUUGCUAUCUGUCUUAGCUUGUAUUUUCGAUAAUAAUGAAAUAUAUA